rnacentral:rRNA from 1 species
CCUACGUGAGGCAGCAGUGAGGAAUAUUGGUCAAUGGGCGCGAGCCUGAACCAGCCAAGUAGCGUGAAGGAUGACUGCCCUACGGGUUGUAAACUUCUUUUAUAAAGGAAUAAAGUGAGGCACGUGUGCCUUUUUGUAUGUACUUUAUGAAUAAGGAUCGGCUAACUCCGUGCCAGCAGCCGCGGUAAUACGGAGGAUACGAGCGUUAUCCGGAUUUAUUGGGUUUAAAGGGAGCGUAGAUGGGUUGUUAAGUCAGUUGUGAAAGUUUGCGGCUCAACCGUAAAAUUGCAAUUGAUACUGGCAGUCUUGAGUACAGUUGAGGUAGGCGGAAUUCGUGGUGUAGCGGUGAAAUGCUUAGAUAUCACGAAGAACUCCGAUUGCGAAGGCAGCUUACUAAACUGCCACUGACAUUGAUGCUCGAAAGUGUGGGUAUCAAACAGGAUUAGAUACCCUUGUAGUC